CCGGCGCACGGGUGAGUAACGCGUAUCCAACCUGCCGUCUACUCUUGGCCAGCCUUCUGAAAGGAAGAUUAAUCCAGGAUGGGAUCAUGAGUUCACAUGUCCGCAUGAUUAAAGGUAUUUUCCGGUAGACGAUGGGGAUGCGUUCCAUUAGAUAGUAGGCGGGGUAACGGCCCACCUAGUCAACGAUGGAUAGGGGUUCUGAGAGGAAGGUCCCCCACAUUGGAACUGAGACACGGUCCAA
rnacentral:rRNA from 1 species